CCUACGGGCGGCAGCAGUGGGGAAUAUUGCACAAUGGGGGAAACCCUGAUGCAGCAACGCCGCGUGCAGGAUGAAGGCCUUCGGGUUGUAAACCUCUUUCAGUAGGGAAGAAGCGAAAGUGACGGUACCGUAAGAAUAAGCACCGGCUAACUACGUGCCAGCAGCCGCGGUAAUACGUAGGGUGCAAGCGUUAAUCGGAAUUACUGGGCGUAAAGCGUGCGCAGGCGGUUAUGUAAGACAGUUGUGAAAUCCCCGGGCUCAACCUGGGAACUGCAUCUGUGACUGCAUAGCUAGAGUACGGUAGAGGGGGAUGGAAUUCCGCGUGUAGCAGUGAAAUGCGUAGAUAUGCGGAGGAACACCGAUGGCGAAGGCAAUCCCCUGGACCUGUACUGAUGCUCAUGCACGAAAGCGUGGGGAGCAAACAGGAUUAGAUACCCUGGUAGUC
rnacentral:rRNA from 1 species